rnacentral:rRNA from 1 species
UACGUAGGUGGCAAGCGUUGUCCGGAUUUACUGGGCGUAAAGAGCGCGCAGGCGGUCGACCAAGUCGCGUGUGAAAGCCCCCGGCUCAACUGGGGAGGGUCACGCGAUACUGAUCGACUCGAAGGCAGGAGAGGGUAGUGGAAUUCCCGGUGUAGUGGUGAAAUGCGUAGAUAUCGGGAGGAACACCAGUGGCGAAGGCGGCGACCUGGUCCUUGACUGACGCUGAGGCGCGAAAGCGUGGGGAGCAAACAGG